AGCGAACGCUGGCGGCAGGCCUAACACAUGCAAGUCGAACGAACUCUUCGGAGUUAGUGGCGGACGGGUGAGUAACACGUGGGAACGUGCCUUUAGGCACGGAAUAACUCAGGUAAACUUGUGCUAAUACCGAAUGUGCUCUUCGGGGGAAAGAUUUAUCGCCUUUAGAGCGGCCGGCGUUUGAUUAGCCAGUUGGGGAGGUAAAGGCUCACCAAGGCGACGAUCAGUAGCUGGUCUGAGAGGCUGAUCAGCCACAUUGGGACUGAGCAACGGCGCAAAAUCCUACGGGAGGCAGCAGUGGGGAAUCUUGCGAAAUGGGCGAAAGCCUGACGCAGCCAUGCCGCGUGAAUGAUGAAGGUCUUAGGAUUGUAAAAUUCUUUCACCGGGGACGAUAAUGACGGUACCCGGAGAAGAAGCCCCGGCUAACUUCGUG
rnacentral:rRNA from 1 species